rnacentral:rRNA from 1 species
UUUUAGGGUCUAAACGCCUUAAAGGCACCAGAUCCUGUCUGAUUUUGGACACUAAGCAUAGCCAGCCCUGGUUAGUACUUGGAUGGGAGCUCACCAAUGAAUACCAGGUGCUGUAGGUU